CCCCUUCGGGGGUACUCGAGUGGCGAACGGGUGAGUAACACGUGGGCAAUCUGCCCUGCACUUCGGGAUAAGCCCGGGAAACUGGGUCUAAUACCGGAUAGGACCUUUAGACGCAUGUCUUUUGGUGGAAAGCUUUUGCGGUGUGGGAUGGGCCCGCGGCCUAUCAGCUUGUUGGUGGGGUGAUGGCCUACCAAGGCGACGACGGGUAGCCGGCCUGAGAGGGUGUCCGGCCACACUGGGACUGAGAUACGGCCCAGACUCCUACGGGAGGCAGCAGUGGGGAAUAUUGCACAAUGGGCGCAAGCCUGAUGCAGCGACGCCGCGUGGGGGAUGACGGCCUUCGGGUUGUAAACCUCUUUCACCAUCGACGAAGGUUCGGGUUUUCUCGGACUGACGGUAGGUGGAGAAGAAGCACCGGCCAACUACGUGCCAGCAGCCGCGGUAAUACGUAGGGUGCGAGCGUUGUCCGGAAUUACUGGGCGUAAAGAGCUCGUAGGUGGUUUGUCGCGUUGUUCGUGAAAUCUCACGGCUUAACUGUGAGAGCGGGUAAUGCCGGGGACUCGUGAGAGACUGCCGGGGUCAACUCGGAGGA
rnacentral:rRNA from 1 species